UCUUUAGAAACUACUAAAGCAGCUCCAUCCAGCUGAGGAUUCAAUCGUCCAGCUGACGGAUCGAAGUGGGACAGAUCGCUGCUCGCUCGCCUACAAACACAAAGCAUGACCACCACUGCCCUGAUCAUCCUCACGAUUGCUUUUGCCUUUGUUCAUGCGAUCAAUCCACCACCUUGCCGGACGAUAAGGAAUAACAAUGCGUACAACAGCUUUUCUAGAAAACACAUCCUUCGGGACCGAUUUGACAGAAGGAACUACAAUGAAUGGGAAAGAUACAUCAGGAACCAUGGACUCACCGACAGACCUCUGCAGUCCUUCUUCAGGAGCGGGGAUGAGGAAAGAGUCACGGACAUCUGUAAUGGCAAAGGACAACCGUUAAAAAGAAGUAGAUACCGAGCUAACUUAUGUAUCAGUCACAGAACAUUUCUGGUAUAUCAUGUCAAAUUGGAUCAAAAUAACAGGGUUACAAAAGUAAAUAUUGCCAAACAAUUUGUGGUUUUGGCUUGUGAUAUUGUGGAAAACCAAUGCCUUCCCGUUCAUUAUCAGAAGUACACCAGACAAGUGCCAAACCGGUCAGCUGCACCCUGUCAACCUCGGUAGAGUAGAAACGUUUUUGGCUUACAUGAAAACAUGUUAUUUUGGAUAUCUGUUACAUAUUUGAGCCUGGUUAUUAUAACAAGUUGUUACAUUAAGGAGAUGACUUGUGAUAACCGUAUCAUAUUAAACAUAUGUUACUGAUAAUUACAUUCAGUUAUUCUCAAGUCAGAAACGUUACACUUGUGUGUUUGUUGAAACUAAAUGGUCACAUGAUGUCAAAGUGAAUUGGUUUCUCUCUUUAUUGAACUGUUGGUUAUACUUUUCUGUGAUGUGUUAAAUUCAUAGUAUUGUUAUUGUGUAAAAAACCCUUAAACUCGUGUUUUUUGUUACAUUUUACUACAACAUCUUUGUGAAAAUGUAAUCAAAUCCUGAAGUGUUGCUUUGUAUAUGUGUCAAAUAAAUUAAUUGAAGCAGCAUUAAUCAAUAUGUUUUAUUUUAACAUUGAAUGAUGUGCUUUUGUGCUAUUAAAAGAUAUUUCCCACCCUU